GAUUAACUCAAUGUUUUGGGCAUAUAUUGGAUUAUAUUAAAUUAAUGACAUCGUGGUAAUGGUAAUUCGAAUAUAAAAGCAGCUCUCCAAAUACUCAAACAUUGAUUUACUUAAUAUAGAAGUCAAGAAAGAUGAGGACAGUGUGAAGGGGAGGCGGACAACUCGGCUACAGAGAGACCUGAUAUUCCUAACUAUGGAAAAUUUUACCGAAAUCAUAGACUCCACCGAAAACGUAUUUCCCUGCCUUAUCUGUGAUGAAAACUUUCCAUCAGGGCCCAGUUUGGAAAAGCAUAUGUUUUUGCACAUUAAUGAUGGAACUGGAGAUUUAUGCGAAUAUGCAACCAACAACAUUGUGGGAAAUAGUCAGCUUACCAACUCUUGAGAAGCGUUACGGAAAAGACAUUAUCAGUAAAACUUCUUUACAAAGAGGUGGCGAAGAAAAAUGUCGAGAAAGUGGUUUGAGUGAUGAAGCUGAAACUGGAAAAUCAGUUGUGUGCGAUUGAAU